UACGGAGGGAGCUAGCGUUGUUCGGAAUUACUGGGCGUAAAGCGCGCGUAGGCGGCUUUGUAAGUUAGAGGUGAAAGCCCGGGGCUCAACCCCGGAAUUGCCUUUAAGACUGCAUCGCUAGAAUCCGGGAGAGGUGAGUGGAAUUCCGAGUGUAGAGGUGAAAUUCGUAGAUAUUCGGAGGAACACCAGUGGCGAAGGCGGCUCACUGGUCCAUUACUGACGCUGAGGUGCGAAAGCGUGGGGAGCAAACAGG
rnacentral:rRNA from 1 species